rnacentral:lncRNA from 1 species
AAUUAUAGGUGGAUAGCUGGUGAUGAAAUCCUGAUGGUCAUGCAUAAUGAUAAGGUGAUAUUGAAGGGGAAGAAGAUCAGAGUAGGAUAUUACUACCUGAUAGGAAGCCUAGUGCGAGUUGAAGCUUCAGAAGCUAAAGGGAGCCCAGAGCAAAGUGGAGCUCCAGAUGCAGGUGGAUCAGGCAUGAGAUGGAAGACUCGAGAGGAUGAGAGGCGAUAUCAUAGAGUGAAAUUUUUAUUACUGCAGGAGAUUUUUUCGAGC